AGCUCUCUUUGGGCUUUCCGAAAAGGUAUCACAUGCCAAGUUUGGCUUCACGGUCUAAACCUUAUAGACUCAUACAUUUUUCACAAAAAAAAGAAGAGAAAAA
rnacentral:sRNA from 1 species